rnacentral:rRNA from 1 species
UACGUAGGGUGCGAGCGUUAAUCGGAAUUACUGGGCGUAAAGCGUGCGCAGGCGGUUUUGUAAGCCAGAUGUGAAAUCCCCGGGCUUAACCUGGGAAUGGCAUUUGGGACUGCAAGGCUUGAGUGCGGCAGAGGAGACUGGAAUUCCGCGUGUAGCAGUGAAAUGCGUAGAUAUGCGGAGGAACACCGAUGGCGAAGGCAGCCCCCUGGGUCAAGAUUGACGCUCAUGCACGAAAGCGUGGGGAGCAAACAGG